UACGUAGGUGGCAAGCGUUAUCCGGAAUUAUUGGGCGUAAAGCGCGCGCAGGCGGUUCCUUAAGUCUGAUGUGAAAGCCCACGGCUCAACCGUGGAGGGUCAUUGGAAACUGGGGAACUUGAGUGCAGGAGAGAAAAGUGGAAUUCCACGUGUAGCGGUGAAAUGCGUAGAGAUGUGGAGGAACACCAGUGGCGAAGGCGGCUUUUUGGCCUGUAACUGACGCUGAGGCGCGAAAGCGUGGGGAG
rnacentral:rRNA from 1 species